rnacentral:lncRNA from 1 species
AAGGCUUCGAAGAUCAGUAGCAGGAGGCGCCGAGGAGCAAGACAAGUAGCAGCGGUAACCCAUAACGGUGAUGGGCAUCGGCGAGAAGUAGCUACUGCCCAAGUGGAAGCGCGUGCACCUGCCGGAGAAUGCAUCAGUGCCGCCUGGUGUUGGACAUGGUCUGCGCCUCCAUAUGUAUGAACCGCUUGGCGUUCAUGGGGUAGCCAAACAUGCCUUCGAUUGUUGCUUCCGACAAAAUGGACAACUUCCUACCAUGGUUUGAUGACAGGUAAUCAAGUGGAUGGCCUGUUUUGGGUUCAGGAGUAACCGCAAGAUUGCCAUCUAUUGUGAAACAAGUGUAAAGAUAAUUCCAAUAAUAAUUGGGUGUAGACUUUCUGGUGAUGUGAUUUCAAUUAAAAAUGCACACUUUCGUUAGUGAUCUUCUAACAAG